rnacentral:tRNA from 1 species
GCGCCCUUAGCUCAGUUGGUAGAGCAUCUGACUUUUAAUCAGGUGGUCGUGGGUUCGAGCCCCGCAGGGCGCACCA